UUGCAGUUAAUAACGUUGCAGUUAAUAAACCUAGUGAAUGUUAUACAUAAAGCUGUCUGUUAUUUCUUUUGUUAUAGGAAGUAUCUAUGAAAAUGUUGGCUAUGACCAGAAUAAUCAAGACAGGUCACAAAUUGCGAGAGAGGUGGAAGAGUUAACCUAUGUUGAAUUGGAUUUUGAUGGAUGUACACCAAAACCAAAAAGUAAGAUAACAGAGAUACCAACGAAGAGCAAGAACGGUAGAGUAGAUUACGCGGAUAUUGCUCUUGGGGUACGAGGUCCUACUCAGUCUACUCCAAAGAAUAGCGACGAUGAGGAUGAUGAUGAGAUGGGUUAUCUACCCCCGCGACAGGACCCACCUGAAAGUUAAUGACAUAUUUAGCAUACUAUUAAUUGAUCAAUUAAAUAUAUAUAUUGGUAUAUUUUUAGGCCUUUGCUUAGAUUGUUCUAUCAUUAGAUGGAUAUAAUAAAUAUCUUGUUUUGGAAUACAAUAUUAAACAGAGUUUUUGAGAUAUCUUUUCUGCUAAAACAUGCUUUCAAAACAGCUUGACACGUGUGUGUUUGCUGAAAUGCGUGUUACGUUAAACUGACGAUAUGCGUUAAUAUAUCCAACAGAUUCCUGAUUACAAUUUGAGUUUUAUAGUAGAAAUUGACAAUACAAAUAUUUUUGAAUAAUUGUAAGUCAUCGAUAUAAAAUUUUGAUAGUCAUGUACUGUCAAACAUCGAAAUAGUGUAUAGUAAUUUGUCUUCCUAACAGUAUUGAUCAAUUAAAUAUAUAUAUAUAUUAUAAUGUAUUGUAAUUUAAACUGAAUGAUAAUAAAUGUUAUCGAAUGAUGGCUAUAAUAACUACGAUUGUUAAAGGAUAUAUGCCCAGAAGAAUUGGUACUGCUUUUUAUUAUAUUAGUCUUUAUAUUACAAGUAUACCGGUAUUUAAUUUAAAACAAAUAUUUUGAAGAGAAUAGGUACUGCUUUUCGAUAAUUGUAUUCUUUAUAAGACAAGUAUAUCGGUAUUUAAUUUAAAACAUAUAUUUUGAAUAGAAUAGGUGCUGCUUAUUGAUAAUUGUUAUAUUGUUUUUAUGUUAAAAGCAUACAUGUAUAUUUCGGAGAGAAUAUGUACUGCUUUUUGAUAAUUGUUGUAUUGUUUUUAUAUUCAAAGCAUACCGGUAUAUUUCGGUUCUGCUUUUUGAUAAAUUGUUCUAUCAUUUUUGUAUUAUCGGUAUUUAUUUUUGAAAAUAUAUUUUCAAUAUGAUACUUAAUGCUUGUUGAUAAUUGUUAUAUUGCUUUUAUAUUUUAGCACGCCGGUAUACUUCGGAGAGAAUAGGUACUGCUCUUUGAUAAAUUGUUAUAUUAUUUUUGUAUUACCGGUAUUUAUUUUUAAGAGAUAUAUUUUCAAUAGGAUAUGUACUGCUUGUAUAUUUUCAAAAGAUAUAUUUCCAAUGAGUGUAAUUAAUUGUUUUAAUGUUUUAGCUAGCUAGCAGGUCGCGUGUUCGAACCCUAGAUUUCCGACGUGGUUUACCUUUGUCAGUGGUGCAAGAUGGAGGGCCUGACAAGGACAGCUGUCUAGUCGUUCGGAUGGGACGAAAAACCGAGGUCCCGUGUAUAAAUUAGCGUGCACGUAAAAUAUCCCUUGGCAGUUUGAAUUCGAUAUUUAGUAGGUCAUAGUGCCGCUGCCCGGGAAAAAUUUCCCUCAUAGCAAACUGUAUGGCGUAUGCCCGUCUUCAUUAGCUCAGUAGGAACGGAACAGUAGGACGUUAAACUCCAUUUUAUUUCAUUUAAAUCAAGGUUAUUUAUUACAAUGGUGAUUCUUUUCUUAUUAAAUUCUUUUUUAUAGUUCUGUUAUUUUGAAUAUUUUUUAUUAAUUAGUUUAUUAAUUCAAAUUAAUUAUGUUUUUUCGGUUUUAUUUUAAAAAGUUUUGUUCAUCAUUUCAUAAAGAGAGACUCUUAUUUUGUAAGUUAUUCCGAUUUGUUAUUAUUCUUUAUUCAUUUUUAAGAAUCGUUUCUGUUGGUAUUGCCAAGGAAUUUCACAAAUCAGUUAAAAUGAGUUUUUUUAAAAUUUACAUUAAUAAUUAUCUAAUUAUGUUAUUGAAAUGUUUCCCGUAUCUUUCGAUAUAAAGCGAAUUUAUGUUGUAAGUAUAGGAGUUCAACUUUGAUAAAAUUAUGUUUUUUUAAUUCAUUUUUAAUUCACUUGUAUUGGGGUUUUUAAUCGUAAUGUUUUAUUUCUAAAUUCUGAUUUAAGUAUUAUGAGGUAUUUAUCACUCAUUUAGUAUUAGUACAUCUUAAAAUCAUUAAUUAUUAUUUGAUUUAUCCGCUUUAUGAUGUUGUAGAUUUGUUUUUCGUUCGUGUAUUUUAAUUGUUUUAGUAGUACAUUUUUGUGCCACAUUUAUCAUCUAUGUUUAUUAUUAGUAGUAGUAUUAUUUAUAAACAGUUUUAUGUUUCUUUGCUUUUUGUUUAAUUAAUUACAUUAAGUCUCUAUUAAAAAGACAACAGGUGACAGCAAGUCAAUAAAGAUCAUGAUUAAUAUUUUACAAAAGCCAAAGUUAGUUAAUGUCCAGGCCUCGUUUUUAGAGGAUACAAAUAAGAUACAAAAUCAAUAGAAGCCAGUGUGAUUUCAAGUAGGCUUAACUUUUGAAUAUUUUUUAUUAUACAGUUUCAUUAAACUUACAUUAUGCAAGAGCUAUAUAUGCCUAUUGCGGGUCCAUUUUUUAGGCCUGAAAUGUUAUAUAAACUAUUAAUUAGACAUUUGUUA